rnacentral:rRNA from 2 species
GUAAUGUCUGGGAAACUGCCUGAUGGAGGGGGAUAACUACUGGAAACGGUGGCUAAUACCGCAUAACGUCGCAAGACCAAAGAGGGGGACCUUCGGGCCUCUUGCCAUCAGAUGUGCCCAGAUGGGAUUAGCUAGUUGGUGAGGUAACGGCUCACCAAGGCGACGAUCCCUAGCUGGUCUGAGAGGAUGACCAGCCACACUGGAACUGAGACACGGUCCAGACUCCUACGGGAGGCAGCAGUGGGGAAUAUUGCACAAUGGGCGCAAGCCUGAUGCAGCCAUGCCGCGUGUAUGAAGAAGGCCUUCGGGUUGUAAAGUACUUUCAGCGGGGAGGAAGGUGUUGUGGUUAAUAACCGCAGCAAUUGACGUUACCCGCAGAAGAAGCACCGGCUAACUCCGUGCCAGCAGCCGCGGUAAUACGGAGGGUGCAAGCGUUAAUCGGAAUUACUGGGCGUAAAGCGCACGCAGGCGGUCUGUCAAGUCGGAUGUGAAAUCCCCGGGCUCAACCUGGGAACUGCAUUCGAAACUGGCAGGCUUGAGUCUUGUAGAGGGGGGUAGAAUUCCAGGUGUAGCGGUGAAAUG